rnacentral:tRNA from 1 species
UCCUCCGUGGCGCAAUUGGCUAGCGCGUCUGACUGUUAUCACAAAGGUACAUCAGGAGGUUGACAGUUCAAGCCUGUCCGGGGGAG